GACGAACGCUGGCGGCGUGCUUAACACAUGCAAGUCGAACGGUAAGGCCCUUCGGGGUACACGAGUGGCGAACGGGUGAGUAACACGUGGUGAUCUGCCCUGCACUUCGGGAUAAGCCUGGGAAACUGGGUCUAAUACCGGAUAGGACUCCUGGCUUCAUGGUUGGGGGUGGAAAGCUUUUGCGGUGUGGGAUGGGCCCGCGGCGUAUCAGCUUGUUGGUGGGGUAAUGGCCUACCAAGGCGACGACGGGUAGCCGGCCUGAGAGGAUGACCGGUAACACUGGAACUGGGAUACGGCACAGACUCCUACGGGAGGCAGCAGUGGAGAAUAUUGCACAAUGGGCGCAAGCCUAAUGCAGCGACGCCGCGUGAGGGAUGACGGCCUUCGGGUUGUAAACCUCUUUCAGCUAUGACGAAGCGCAAGUGACGGUAGUAGCAGAAGAAGGACCGGCCAACUACGUGCCAGCCGCCGCAGUAA
rnacentral:rRNA from 1 species